UUGGCAAUCCCGAGAGGUGAUGAGGGUCGCCGCAAGGCGGACAACUUGAUGAUUCCACGCUUCCAAGAAAAGCUUCGCGUGAGUGUACCUCUGUGCUGACCGUACCGUAAACCGACACAGGUGGGUGGGGAGAACAUCCCAAGGCGCUUGAGAGAACUCGGGUUAAGGAACUCGCAAAUUGACACCGUAACUUCGGGAGAAGGUGUGCCCUUGAGGGUGAGUGACUUCGCGUCAUGAGCCUUUGGGGGUUGCAGAGAAUCGGGGGUAGCGACUGUUUAUCAAAAACACAGGACUCUGCGAAGUCGCAAGACGACGUAUAGGGUCUGACGCCUGCCCGGUGCUGGAAGGUAACAGGAGAUGUCAGGGCAACCGAAGCAUCGAAUCGAAGCCCCAGUAAACGGCGGCCGUAACAAUAACGGUCCUAAGGUAGCGAAAUUCCUUGGCGGGUAAGUUCCGUCCUGCACGAAUGGCGUAACGACUUCCCCACUGUCUCGACCCGGGACUCAGCGAAAUUGAAAUCGGGGUGAAGAUGCCCCGUACCCGCGGCAAGACGGAAAGACCCCGUGAACCUUUACUGCAGCUUGGCACUGGUUUUCGGAUUUGUCUGUGUAGGAUAGGUGGGAGGCUGUGAAGUGGGGCCGCUAGGUUCCACGGAGCCAACGUUGAAAUACCACCCUGACAAAUCUGAAAGCCUAACCGUGACCGUAAGCCGGGUCCGGAACACUGCCUGGUGGGUAGUUUGACUGGGGCGGUCACCUCCGAAAAAGUAACGGAGGCGCGCAAAGGUUCCCUCAGGCUGAUUGGAAACCAGCCGUAGAGUGUAAAAGCACAAGGGAGCUUGACUGCAACUCAUACGAGAGGAGCAGGUACGAAAGUAGGCUUUAGUGAUCCGGUGGUUCUGAAUGGAAGGGCCAUCGCUCAACGGAUAAAAGGUACUCCGGGGAUAACAGGCUUAUCACGCCCAAGAGUUCACAUCGACGGCGUGGUUUGGCACCUCGAUGUCGGCUCAUCGCAUCCUGGGGCUGUAGUAGGUCCCAAGGGUUUGGCUGUUCGCCAAUUAAAGCGGUACGCGAGCUGGGUUCAAAACGUCGUGAGACAGUUUGGUCCCUAUCUGCCGUGGGCGCAGGAGUCUUGAAGUGGAUCUGUCCCUAGUACGAGAGGACCGGGAUGGACGAACCCCUGGUGUUCCGGUUGUUUUGCCAGGGGCAUUGCCGGGUAGCUAUGUUCGGAACGGAUAACCGCUGAAAGCAUCUA
rnacentral:rRNA from 1 species